rnacentral:rRNA from 1 species
UACGUAGGGUGCAAGCGUUGUCCGGAAUUAUUGGGCGUAAAGAGCUCGUAGGCGGUCUGUCGCGUCUGCUGUGAAAACUCGGGGCUUAACCCCGGGCCUGCAGUGGGUACGGGCAGACUAGAGUGCGGUAGGGGAGACUGGAAUUCCUGGUGUAGCAGUGAAAUGCGCAGAUAUCAGGAGGAACACCGGUGGCGAAGGCGGGUCUCUGGGCCGAAAUUGACGCUGAGGAGCGAAAGCGUGGGGAGCAAACAGG